GUUCCUGUUACCUAAUGGAUAAGGCGUUGGACUCCGGAUCCAAAGAUUGUGGGUUCAAGUCCCACCAGGAACA